rnacentral:rRNA from 1 species
UACGUAGGGUGCGAGCGUUAAUCGGAAUUACUGGGCGUAAAGCGUGCGCAGGCGGUUUUGUAAGCCAGGUGUGAAAUCCCCGGGCUCAACCUGGGAAUGGCAUUUGGGACUGCAAGGCUGGAGUGCGGCAGAGGAGACUGGAAUUCCUGGUGUAGCAGUGAAAUGCGUAGAUAUCAGGAGGAACACCGAUGGCGAAGGCAGGUCUCUGGGCUGACACUGACGCUCAUGCACGAAAGCGUGGGGAGCAAACAGG